rnacentral:rRNA from 1 species
UGGGCAACCUGCCCUCAGCUCUGGGAUAACUCCAAGAAAUUGGGGCUAAUACCGGAUAUGACUGCUGACCGCAUGGUCUGGUGGUGGAAAGAUUUAUCGGCUGGGGAUGGGCCCGCGGCCUAUCAGCUUGUUGGUGGGGUAGUGGCCUACCAAGGCGACGACGGGUAGCUGGUCUGAGAGGAUGGCCAGCCACAUUGGGACUGAGACACGGCCCAGACUCCUAGGAG